ACCGGCGUAAGGGGCAGUAAGGCAUGGAUAACUUACCCUGGGAUUUGGCAUAGCUCGUAGAAGUACGAGGUAAUUCCAAGCGAUGUGAUUGGGGGGCAUCCUCUGGUCACCAAAGGUCCGCUGUCCUGGGAGAGGUCCAUGUGAUAUUAGCUAGUUGGUGAGGUAACGGCUCACCAAGGCGAAGAUGUCUAGCGGGUGUGAGAGCACGACCCGCGCCACUGGCACUGAGACACUGGCCAGACACCUACGGGUGGCUGCAGUCGAGGAUCUUCGGCAAUGAGCGCAACUUGACCGAGCGACGCCGCGUGUGCGAUGAAGGCCUUCGGGUUGUAAAGCACUGUCGAGGGGGAGAAAGGGCAACUUGAUCUAUCCCUGGAGGAAGCACGGGCUAAGUUCGUGCCAGCAGCCGCGGUAAGACGAACCGUGCGAACGUUGUUCGGAAUCAUUGGGCUUAAAGGGCGCGUAGGCGGGCCAACAAGUCCGGGGUGAAAUACUCUAGCUCAACUAGAGAACUGCCCCGGAUACUGUGGGUCUCGAGGAAGGUAGGGGCAUGCGGAACGGGUGGUGGAGCGGUGAAAUGCGUUGAUAUCACUCGGAACUCCGGUGGCGAAGGCGGCGUGCUGGACCUUUUCUGACGCUGAGGCGCGAAAGCCAGGGGAGCGAACGGGAUUAGAUACCCCGGUAGUCCUGGCCCUAAACGUUGAGAACUAGGUAGUAGACUAGACAUGGGUUUACUGCCGAAGCUAAAGUGCUAAGUUCUCCGCCUGGGGAGUAUGGUCGCAAGGCUGAAACUCAAAGAAAUUGACGGGGGCUCACACAAGCGGUGGAGCAUGUGGCUUAAUUCGAGGUACGCGAAGAACCUUAUCCUGGACUUGACAUGUGCGAAAGCGUUAGGUAGUAGAAGCCGGAAACGGUAACGAAUGCCAGCAAUGGUAGAGCCUAAUACAGGUGCUGCAUGGCUGUCGUCAGCUCGUGUCGUGAGAUGUCGGGUUAAGUCCCAUAACGAGCGAAACCCUUACCAUCAGUUGCUACUUAUAGGACUCUGGUGGGACUGCCGGUGUUAAACCGGAGGAAGGUGGGGAUGACGUCAAGUCCUCAUGGCCUUUAUGUCCAGGGCUGCACACGUGCUACAAUGCCGUGAACAAAGGGAAGCAAACCUGCGAAGGGGAGCAAAUCCCAAAAAACACGGCCCAGUUCAGAUCGUAGGCUGCAACUCGCCUACGUGAAGUCGGAAUCGCUAGUAAUCGCGGGUCAGCAACACCGCGGUGAAUGUGUUCCUGAGCC
rnacentral:rRNA from 1 species